rnacentral:rRNA from 1 species
UACGUAGGGCGCAAGCGUUGUCCGGAAUUAUUGGGCGUAAAGAGCUCGUAGGCGGUUUGUCGCGUCUGCUGUGGAAUCCCGAGGCUCAACCUCGGGCUUGCAGUGGGUACGGGCAGACUAGAGUGCGGUAGGGGAGACUGGAAUUCCUGGUGUAGCGGUGGAAUGCGCAGAUAUCAGGAGGAACACCGAUGGCGAAGGCAGGUCUCUGGGCCGCAACUGACGCUGAGGAGCGAAAGCAUGGGGAGCGAACAGG